GACGAACGCUGGCGGCGUGCUUAACACAUGCAAGUCGAGCGGUAAGGCUCCUUCGGGAGUCCACGAGCGGCGAACGGGUGAGUAACACGUGAGUAAUCUGCCCUUCACUUCAGGAUAACCACCGGAAACGGUGGCUAAUACCGAAUACGACCAGUCUUCGCAUGAGGUGCUGGUGGAAAGUCUUUUCGGUGAAGGAUGUGCUCGCGGCCUAUCAGCUUGUUGGUGGGGUAAUGGCCUACCAAGGCUUCGACGGGUAGCCGGCCUGAGAGGGUGACCGGCCACACUGGGACUGAGACACGGCCCAGACUCCUACGGGAGGCAGCAGUGGGGAAUAUUGGACAAUGGGCGAAAGCCUGAUCCAGCAACGCCGCGUGAGGGAUGACGGCCUUCGGGUUGUAAACCUCUUUCAGUACCGACGAAGCGCCCUGUCGGGUGGUGACGGUAGGUACAGAAGAAGGACCGGCCAACUACGUG
rnacentral:rRNA from 1 species